rnacentral:pre_miRNA from 9 species
CCACCACUUACACAUGGAUGCACUUGCUUUGACACUAAAAAAGGAAGCACUCGCAUGUUUUAAUGAUGG